GGAUUAGAUACCCUGGUAGUCCACGCCCUAAACGAUGUGCACUAGAUCGAGGUAGGUCUGACCCUUUCUCGGUCGUAGAGAAAUUGUUAAGUGCACCGCCUGGGGAGUACGGUCGCAAGGCUAAAACUCAAAGGAAUUGACGGGGGCUCACACAAGCGGUGGAGCAUGUUGCUUAAUUCGAAGCAACGCGAAGAACCUUACCAGGGUUUGACAUGCACGGAUUAACUUUGUGAAAGCAGAGCCACGCCCUUUGGGUGGAACGUGCACAGGUGCUGCAUGGCUGUCGUCAGCUCGUGCCG
rnacentral:rRNA from 1 species